UACGAAGGGGGCUAGCGUUGCUCGGAAUCACUGGGCGUAAAGGGCGCGUAGGCGGACUUUUAAGUCGGAGGUGAAAGCCCAGGGCUCAACCCUGGAAUUGCCUUCGAUACUGGAAGUCUUGAGUUCGGAAGAGGUUGGUGGAACUGCGAGUGUAGAGGUGAAAUUCGUAGAUAUUCGCAAGAACACCAGUGGCGAAGGCGGCCAACUGGUCCGAUACUGACGCUGAGGCGCGAAAGCGUGGGGAGCAAACGGG
rnacentral:rRNA from 1 species